rnacentral:rRNA from 9 species
UCUGGCGGCAGUAGCGCGGUGGUCCCACCUGACCCCAUGCCGAACUCAGAAGUGAAACGCCGUAGCGCCAAUGGUAGUGUGGGGUCUCCCCAUGCGAGAGUAGGGAACUGCCAGAC